GACCAAGGCGUAGACAAAGACGAAUACUCGAGCGAUGAUCGAGCGAUAACGCUGUUAUGACAAGAAAUCUUGCUACUUAUGAAUGAAUCACGUAACAUAUAUUUUUUAUACGGUAAUUAAAACAUCUAGUAGUAUUGUUGAUAUGAUACAACGUUCACAAGAGAUGAGAAUCGCGUUGCCAUGAAGAAGAGUUUUAAUACUCGAGCGUUUUAAGCGCACUUGCAGCUAUUUCUGAAUUAAUCGAUAUACAGAGUGUCCCAGAAACGGCGAGAAUUUCUGCCGAGAAAAGAGAACUUGCUAUUUACGAAUCAAUCAAGUGCAAUAAAGCUUAACUGACCUGAACUCUCUAAUUGUCUCUGAAUUAAUCGAUAUGUAAGUUAUCAUAUUAUAUGGAUCAAGUAAAAAUCGAGUGGAACAUAUAAAUCAUCACUGGCUACUCUAAUUUCAUCUGCCAGUUGCCUAACUUCAAAGUGCUAUAAGCUUUGCCACGUAAAGUUCCUGAUUAAUCGGGUAAUGCGGUCUGCCAUGGAAAGACGAUUUCAACAUCAAUGUCGGCGAUCUAUCAUGCUCUAAUUGCAAGUUCAGGGAGUUCAGCAAAUGUGGAUCCCAACUAAUAUCAUAGUUUGAGAAAAAGAUUGCAAUUUUCAUCAAUUGCUGUCGUAAAGUUCAUUCGAAAUUUAAUCAUUGUAUUUUUCUAAAAAAAACUCUAAUGCACUCUGUGAUCUAUAAAAAAAAUGUAC